UACGUAGGGUGCAAGCGUUAAUCGGAAUUACUGGGCGUAAAGCGUGCGUAGGCGGUUUGUUAAGUCUGUCGUGAAAGCCCUGGGCUCAACCUGGGAAUUGCGAUGGAUACUGGCAAGCUAGAGUACGGUAGAGGAUGGUGGAAUUCCCGGUGUAGCGGUGAAAUGCGUAGAGAUCGGGAGGAACACCCGUGGCGAAGGCGGCCAUCUGGACCAGUACUGACGCUGAGGCACGAAAGCGUGGGGAGCAAACAGG
rnacentral:rRNA from 1 species